UCUUGUAUUUGGAUCCAACGUUCUUAUUGGUUAUUUAUUUGCUUCCGUUGGGAAUAUAUGUCUCGUGAUAAAGUAAUGCUUUACUUUGUGGUGAACUCCAUAAUUAGCUCAUGAAAAUUAGGGUUAGUUUGAUGUCUUCUAUAGUGUAUAUGUUGAAAGAUUGUGUCUUCCUCUUGAAAGAAAGAAGAAUGGAAGUAUCUGGAUGAGAACAAGUCACUGAUUCUGAAGAUUGUCGAAAGCCAGAACUCGGGUAAAGUUAGUGAAUGUGCAGAG